CUUUAAGGUCUUUUUAUUUAAAAGGGCCUAAAUGCUUAAAAUUACACACAAUCGGAUCCAAGAGCUGAUCCACAAGACAAGGGAGCUGAAAAGACUCCUUUUUGUCUAAUAUAGAUAAGUUUAAAGACAACUAUACACAUCAUUUUCCACUUUUCCUUGACAUUGUCAUCUUCAAGAGUGGUCCCUGAUUGCUGCCAUUGGAACUCGAAGCUCUGUUCCCUUCUUCUUUGGGUGGUGUUCAAGCUAAAUCCAUGGUGAAUCUUAGUCGAAUUCUUAAUAUCAGCUUCACUCUUCUCAGGUGGUCUUGGGUCCACAAAAGACCAUCUUUCCAGAUGCUGGACCAUCUCCCUAUCCCUCCCUUUUGGUGAUCUUCCAGGCAUACUGUUAAACCCUUUUUUCUUUGCUCUUUAAUUUCCUCUGUUAUUGUUGCUACCUGUUGCACUCUGUUAGAUUUUUACAUAUGCAUGCUACUAUGUUGAUUAUUGCUAAACUAUUGUCCUUGUCCUGAUCCUGAUAUGUGGAAUUUGAUCCUUGUCAAUGUUUAGAAGCCGCCUGGUUUUCACUG